AACGCACGAGACCUGCGGACCUGCGGAAGGAUCAUCACUGAAUUUUGUGUGUGUGGGCCAGUGGGGUGGGAUGAGUUCUCAUCGGACAUGACCCGCAUACCCCCGCCCCACACACAAAACAAAUCUCCGUCAACCUGUUGCAUUUGUAUGACUGACGUGGGCUGGAUUUCGGCUUUGAGGUGUACGUGGGGGGAAUGGCAAUUUCCCUCACCCGCCAAAAGGAGGACGAGCCGCCCACCG
rnacentral:misc_RNA from 1 species